AGUGAACGCUGGCGGUAGGCCUAACACAUGCAAGUCGAACGGCAGCACAGUAAGAGCUUGCUCUUACGGGUGGCGAGUGGCGGACGGGUGAGGAAUACAUCGGAAUCUACUUUUUCGUGGGGGAUAACGUAGGGAGACUUACGCUAAUACCGCAUACGACCUACGGGUGAAAGCAGGGGAUCUUCGGACCUUGCGCGAUUGAAUGAGCCGAUGUCGGAUUAGCUAGUUGGCGGGGUAAAGGCCCACCAAGGCGACGAUCCGUAGCUGGUCUGAGAGGAUGAUCAGCCACACUGGAACUGAGACACGGUCCAGACUCCUACGGGAGGCAGCAGUGGGGAAUAUUGGACAAUGGGCGCAAGCCUGAUCCAGCCAUACCGCGUGGGUGAAGAAGGCCUUCGGGUUGUAAAGCCCUUUUGUUGGGAAAGAAAAGCAGCAGGUUAAUACCCCGCUGUUCUGACGGUACCCAAAGAAUAAGCACCGGCUAACUUCGU
rnacentral:rRNA from 1 species